rnacentral:lncRNA from 1 species
AUUAGGCCAAAUAAAAUAGUAUGUGUGGUUCCAGUUACAUCUGAAAAAAAGUAAGUAGGUAGGGAUUUUUUUUUUAUUUUAUGUUUUUUUUUUUACAUUGAGUCUAUGGGAGCAUCAUUCUGACUUUAACAGUGCUUAAUGAAAAAUGACAAUAAAAUCUUUAGGGUAGGCUAAUUUCAAGACGAAAAAGUAGGGAAGGUAGGGUCACUGGAACCACACAUAUAUUUUUAUUUGGCCAUUCAGUGACGUUAAUUUUAAAGUUGGAAAGACUUAAAAAGAAGAAAACAAGAAUUAAGAAAAAAGUAUCAAAUAUAAAAAAGAAGAUGUGGUAUGAGUACCAAUAAGACAACUCAUCCACAAGAGACUAAAAUGACACAGAAAUUAACAACUAUAGGUCACUGUAUGGCUUUCAACAAUGAACAAACCCCCUACCGCAUAGUCACUCAGCUAUAAAAGGUCAUGUGAAACAAUUCAAACAAGAAAACUAACGGCCUAAUUUAUGUACAAAAAA